rnacentral:rRNA from 1 species
UACGUAGGACCCAAGCGUUAUCCGGAGUGACUGGGCGUAAAGAGUUGCGUAGGUGGUUUGUAAAGUGAAUAGUGAAAUCUGGCGGCUCAACCGUACAGGCUAUUAUUCAAACUCACAAACUCGAGAAUGGUAGAGGUAACUGGAAUUUCUAGUGUAGGAGUGAAAUCCGUAGAUAUUAGAAGGAACACCAAUGGCGUAGGCAGGUUACUGGACCAUUUCUGACACUGAGGCACGAAAGCGUGGGGAGCGAACCGG